GCCUGAUUGGCUCAAUGGUAGAGCGUCUCCCUCCUACUACAACGUUAAGUAUGGAAUUAGGAGAAGGUUGCGGGUUCGAUUCCCGUGUUAGGUU